UAAUAUUUUGUCAACUUUAAUGGAAUAUGCUAACAGCAUCAGGUAAAUAUGAUGGAAUAUUCUAUUAUUUAGUGGAAUAUUCUCUAACGGCGUUAAAUAUUCUUUCCGUGUGCUAGGCACAUGCCUGCGCGUGGGACGUUGGAAAUUUUUUCUAAAAAUAUGGGAAUGCUCGUGAUGUUGAGUAGGCGACGAUGGUAUAUUCAAACACCCAAAUCGAACAACGUAUGAGAAGUUAUUACACAGUUUUACUUAUGUGCUUAAAAUUGACGUUAAAGUAGUGGUUUCACAUAUAGGUGAAACAUUUUUAGAGGACGAGCGCAGCCAGGUGAGACUAGGGGGUUAUGACCCGGCUACAUACCAGUGAAUGGGCUUUUGAUUUUUUGUAUAUACGUAUAUAUGCUUUAUGUUUUCCCAUAAAUGGUUUUAAAUGGAUUUACGUUUUUAAAAUUCCAUGUCAUAUUUGAUUUAUAUUUUAGCAUAUGAUUUAGGAUAGCUUUGCAUAAUAUUGCAUGUUAUUGCGGAGGUCAAGGUAAGUUCAGGUGAGUACACAUUGUUGGUUAGAUUGCAUAGUAGUUAGUGAUAAAUAGUGUGCAUAAAAUUCAUUGUCCUACACCCCGGUGUUAGUGCUCCGCCCAAGGCCAGGGCCUAGCCUUCACGUGAUCGUUCACCUCCUGCA
rnacentral:lncRNA from 1 species